GACGAACGCUGGCGGCGUGCUUAACACAUGCAAGUCGAACGGAAAGGCCCUGCUUUUGUGGGGUGCUCGAGUGGCGAACGGGUGAUUAACACGUGAGUAACCUGCCCUUGACUUUGGGAUAACUUCAGGAAACUGGGGCUAAUACCGGAUAGGAGCUCCUGCUGCAUGGUGGGGGUUGGAAAGUUUCGGCGGUUGGGGAUGGACUCGCGGCUUAUCAGCUUGUUGGUGGGGUAGUGGCUUACCAAGGCUUUGACGGGUAGCCGGCCUGAGAGGGUGACCGGCCACAUUGGGACUGAGAUACGGACCAGACUCCUACGGGAGGCAGCAGGGGGGAAUAUUGCACAAUGGGCGGAAGCCUGAUGCAGCAACGCCGCGUGCGGGAUGACGGCCUUCGGGUUGUAAACCGCUUUCGCCUGUGACGAAGCGUGAGUGACGGUAAUGGGUAAAGAAGCACCGGCUAACUACGUG
rnacentral:rRNA from 1 species